rnacentral:rRNA from 1 species
UACGUAGGGUGCAAGCGUUAAUCGGAAUUACUGGGCGUAAAGCGUGCGCAGGCGGUUUUGUAAGUCUGACGUGAAAUCCCCGAGCUCAACUUGGGAAUUGCAAUGGAUACUGGCAGGCUGGAGUAUGGUAGAGGAAGGUGGAAUUCCCGGUGUAGCAGUGAAAUGCGUAGAGAUCGGGAGGAACACCAGUGGCGAAGGCGGCCUUCUGGACCAAUACUGACGCUCAUGCACGAAAGCGUGGGGAGCAAACAGG